UCAGGACUUGAACUUUGGUGGGCAGGCUUUAGCUCUAAAGUUCUUCUAUACCAAAGCUGUGUCAACAUUAAAGCUGGGACUGGACUUCCAAUCUGAGGACCCAGAAGAGUCAGCAUAUCCUACUUAACUUCUAAGGGAAUCUGCCUCUUGGGACCCAGCUGCCACACUGUAAGGAAGUCCAGAGCGGGCGUGAGAGGCUGCAUGGAGGCGAACUGAGCGUCCCACUGAGCUACCAGCCGAAUGCAGCCACAGGAGUGACCCCAGCAGAUGCCACAUGGAAUGGAAAAACAACCAACCCAGUCAAGGCACUGGAUCUCGAGGAACUAUAAAAGUUGUUUUAAGGCACUAUUUUGCAGAUGUCUUAUUACAUAUGAGAAUAUCCACUGACAUGAUGUGUUAGUCACACUGUUGGAGGAGAAUAUGAGAAAUAUCCAUGGAUCAGUUCCCCUAAGUGAACCCUCUAAUAUUCCUGAGGCAAAAAAAAAAUCUACUGUUAGCAGAAUUCAAUACAGCUUACCUCUCCAAAAAUCUACUGUUAGCAGAAUUCAAUACAGCUUACCUCUCCUGUGGAGACCUUUGUUUUAGCCUCACACAUCCUUGGAGAAAAAAAGAAUUCAACUUUACAGAAAAAUAGCAAAAUAGGAGAACUCUUCUUAACUUUCAUGCUCAUUAAAGUGAAAAUUAAUUAAGAAGACAUCUGAGGUGUUUUUUUUUUUGGAGACAAGGUGUCAUUUUGUCACCCAGGCUGGAGUGGUGGUGUGAUCACAUCCCACUGUAGCCUCGAACUCCUGGGCUCAAGUGAUCCUCCCACCUCAGCCUCCAGAACAGCUGGCACUACAGGCAUUACACCACCACACCAGGCUAUUUUUGUUGUUGUUUUUGGUAGAGAUGGGGUCUCCCUGUGUUGCCCAGGCUGGUCUCAAACUCCCAGGCUCAAGCAGUCCUCCCACCUUGACCUCCCAAAAUGCAGGAAUUACAGCCAUGAGCCACCACGCUUGGCCAACAUCUGAGUUAAAACUUUUUUUUUUUUUUUUGAGACAAGGUUUUGCUCAGUUGCUGAGGAUGGAGUGCAGUGGUGCAAACACGGCUAACUGCAGCUUCAAACUCCUGGGCUCAAGCAAUCAUCCCGCCUCACCCUCCCAAGUAGCUAGGACCACAGGCACGUGCUACUAUAUUUGGCUAAUUUUUAAAAUUUCUGUAGAGAUGGG
rnacentral:lncRNA from 1 species